rnacentral:misc_RNA from 1 species
UUUCCGUAGGUGAACCUGCGGAAGGAUCAUUCAUAAUAAAGUGUUUUAUGGCACUUUUUAAAAAUCCAUAUCCACCUUGUGUGCAAUGUUAGAUCUCGUCAAUCUUGGCGAGGUUUUUAUACAUCAACUCAUUCUUUAACUAAUUUGUCUGAAAAAUAUUGUGAAUACUUAAUUCAAAAUACAACUUUCAACAACGGAUCUCUUGGCUCUC